rnacentral:tRNA from 1 species
UGUGCUGUAGCUCAAUAGAAGAGCAUUUGCAUUGUAUGUGUGAGGCCCUGGGUUCAAUCCCCAGUGACACAC